UACGUAGGGUGCGAGCGUUAAUCGGAAUUACUGGGCGUAAAGCGUGCGCAGGCGGUCUGUUAAGACCGAUGUGAAAUCCCCGGGCUUAACCUGGGAACUGCAUUUGUGACUGCAUCGCUGGAGUGCGGCAGAGGGGGAUGGAAUUCCGCGUGUAGCAGUGAAAUGCGUAGAUAUGCGGAGGAACACCGAUGGCGAAGGCAAUCCCCCUGGGCCUGCACUGACGCUCAUGCACGAAAGCGUG
rnacentral:rRNA from 1 species